rfam:Anaerocolumna jejuensis DSM 15929 genome assembly, contig: EJ31DRAFT_NODE_2_len_399_cov_72_278198.68
UGGACCGAAUUUUAAAGUAGGGAAGCUGAUGAAGGCACUGCCAAGAAAAGCCGCUAUUGUUUUUUAUAAGCCCGUACCGUAAACCGACACAGGUGGAUGAGGAGAGAAUCCUAAGGCCGACGGGAGAAGCAUUGUUAAGGAACUCGGCAAAAUGACCCCGUAACUUCGGGAGAAGGGGUGCCUGUAGAAAUACAGGCCGCAGAGAAUUGGCCCAAGCAACUGUUUAGCAAAAACACAGGUCUAUGCAAAACCGUAAGGUGAAGUAUAUGGGCUGACGCCUGCCCGGUGCUGGAAGGUUAAGGGGAGAUGUUAGGAGCAAUCCGAAGCGUUGAACUUAAGCCCCAGUAAACGGCGGCCGUAACUAUAACGGUCCUAAGGUAGCGAAAUUCCUUGUCGGGUAAGUUCCGACCCGCACGAAAGGCGUAAUGAUUUGGGCACUGUCUCGACAAUGCACCCGGUGA